AUGCUGGAUGUGAUGGAUGAUGCACCUGUAUCCUCAGAACAAGUAAGACAAUGGACAGCCAAAGAUGUGACACUGUCACAUGUACAUGAGUUUGUGUUAAAAGGAUGGCCCGCUGCAGUAGAGCCUCAAUUCAUGCCUUGUUUUACCCAACGCUUAGAAUUAAGUGUUCGAGAUGGAUGUGUGCUGUGGGGUGCUCGGGUCAUUAUUCCUCAGCAAGGAAGAAAAAUGUUGCUGCAUCAGUCCCAUCUAGGAAUGUCUAGGAUGAAAAGUUUGGCCAGGUCAUGUGUUUGGUGGCCUCGGAUGGCUCAGGAUGUAGAAAGUGAAGUACAGCAGUGUGAAGUCUGUCAAUGGCACAGCAAGUCCCCUGCUACAGCACCAUUACAUCGAUGGGAAUGGCCGGAGAAGCCAUGGACUCGACUUCACGUUGAUUAUGCGGGUCCCUUUUUAGGCAAAAUGUUUUUGGUGCUGGUUGAUUCACAUUCUAAGUGGAUGGAUGUAUAUUCAGUAAAAACAGCAACUACUCAUGUAACCCUUGAGAAACUUAGACAAAGCAUCAGUAUCCGUGGAUUACCAAAAAUGUUGGUGAGUGAUAAUGCUACUUGCUUUACACGUGCUGAGUUUGCAGAUUUCAUGUCCAAAAAUGGAAUUCAUCCUUCAUCAAAUGGGUUGGCCGAAAGAGCAGUUCAGACCUUUAAGCAGGGGAUGAAGAGGAUGCAAGGAGGAAAGGAGAGCUUGGAAACUAAAGUGUCAAGAUUCCUGUUUAGUUACAGAAUCACUCCACACUCUACCACAUGUUUGUUUCUGGUGGAGAUGCUCAUGUCCAGGAGGCCAAGGUCCAUGUUUGAUUUGUUACUCCUGGACUUGAAAACCAAGAUGGAAAAGAAACAAUGGAAACAAAAAGCUCAUCAUGAUAAGACUACCAAACUCAUAUGUUUUAAUCCAGGAAAUCUAGUUUUUACAAAGAACUAUGGAUACGGUCCCAAAUGGAUCCCUGGAACCAUUGAGAGCUGCACGGGUCCACUGUCUUGUACCGUUCUCACCGAGAAUAGAUAG
rnacentral:lncRNA from 1 species